AUAAAUAUACUGUGACCCGCAAGGGUCUAAUGUAUCCACCCUUUGUGAAACUUCUAUUUUUGCUUCGGCAGCACUCUCAGUGGGUUACACCACUGGCGGGGUAAGGCUGUCAGAAGACACAAUAAAACUAGUUUGAUGAAAUGUCAUGCAGUCUGAUAACCAUUUUUUGAGAAAUCAAAUUAUGUUA
rnacentral:misc_RNA from 1 species